rnacentral:lncRNA from 1 species
GAGCAGGGAAGCCAGGAGGUGUGCUCCGCUUUUGUGCUACUGGCAUAUGAAGAAACUGGGGCUCUGAAUGGCAUAUUAACGCGUGCAGCUCUAGACAGCGAGGAAGUGAUGGCAACUCUAUCCGAACUCAAAUCUGCCAGACCUAUACCAGUAGGUGCCUGUGUGCAGUUGGGGACUCACCUCUGCCAGUGCUGGCAUGAGCUAGCUGUCUUGAACUGAAAACAGACACUCAAAGAUGGGCUAUGGGAUCCCAGAGAGGUGGCAGAAUGGUCAAAGCUAUGAAGCCAACAGCUGCUGCCAAGAAGAAAGUCCUGAGCCCUGAGUGAUUGUAAUUUAAAAAACUUAAUGCUGGGAGUGGGUGUUUAUUUUGGAGGAGUGGGCUGCUUAUUUUUGGUUAGGGGACUUGUUCAUUCAUCUUUUCUCAGCUGCACCUACUGCUGC